rnacentral:rRNA from 1 species
GAUGAACGCUGGCGGCGUGCUUAACACAUGCAAGUCGAACGGAAAGGCCGAAGCUUGCUUCGGUACUCGAGUGGCGAACGGGUGAGUAACACGUGGGUGAUCUGCCCUGUACUUCGGGAUAAGCUUGGGAAACUGGGUUUAAUACCGGAUAUGACGAUCUCUUGGAUGGGGUUGUGGAAAGCUUUUGCGGUGUGGGAUGAGCUCGCGGCCUAUCAGCUUGUUGGUGGGGUAAUGGCCUACCAAGGCCUCGACGGGGAGCCGGCCCGAGGGGGUGUACGGCCGGAUUAGAACUGAGAUACGGGCCAGAGUCCGACGGGAGGCAGCAGGGGGGAAUAUUGCACAAUGGGCGCAAGCCUGAUGCAGCGACGCCGCGUGGGGGAUGACGGCUUUCGGGUUGUAAACUCCUUUCGCAAUCGACGAAGCCUUUUGGUGACGGUAGGUAGAGAAGAAGCACCGGCUAACUACGUG